AGUGAACGCUGGCGGUAGGCCUAACACAUGCAAGUCGAACGGCAGCACAGUAAGAGCUUGCUCUUACGGGUGGCGAGUGGCGGACGGGUGAGGAAUACAUCGGAAUCUACUUUUUCGUGGGGGAUAACGUAGGGAAACUUACGCUAAUACCGCAUACGACCUACGGGUGAAAGCAGGGGAUCUUCGGACCUUGAGCGAUUGAAUGAGCCGAUGUCGGAUUAGCUAGUUGGCGGGGUAAAGGCCCACCAAGGCGACGAUCCGUAGCUGGUCUGAGAGGAUGAUCAGCCACACUGGAACUGAGACACGGUCCAGACUCCUACGGGAGGCAGCAGUGGGGAAUAUUGGACAAUGGGCGCAAGCCUGAUCCAGCCAUACCGCGUGGGUGAAGAAGGCCUUCGGGUUGUAAAGCCCUUUUGUUGGGAAAGAAAAGCAGCAGGUUAAUACCCCGCUGUUCUGACGGUACCCAAAGAAUAAGCACCGGCUAACUUCGUG
rnacentral:rRNA from 1 species